rnacentral:rRNA from 1 species
AUUGAACGCUGGCGGCAUGCCUUACACAUGCAAGUCGAACGGCAGCACGGGAGCAAUCCUGGUGGCGAGUGGCGAACGGGUGAGUAAUGUAUCGGAACGUGCCUUGUCGUGGGGGAUAACGUAGCGAAAGCUACGCUAAUACCGCAUACCAUCUAAGGAUGAAAGCGGGGGAUCGCAAGACCUCGCGCGACAAGAGUGGCCGAUAUCAGAUUAGGUUGUUGGUGGGGUAAAGGCCUACCAAGCCGACGAUCUGUAGCUGGUCUGAGAGGACGACCAGCCACACUGGGACUGAGACACGGCCCAGACUCCUACGGGAGGCAGCAGUGGGGAAUUUUGGACAAUGGGCGAAAGCCUGAUCCAGCAAUGCCGCGUGCAGGAUGAAGGCCUUCGGUUGUAAACUGCUUUGUACUAGAACGAAACAAGUCUCUCCUAAUACGGGGGUCGGAAGUGACGGUACUGUAAGAAUAAG